GCCAGGUGCGAUGGUGCCCACCUGUAGGCCCAGCUCCUGGGAAGGCUGAGGCAGGACCGCCUGAGCCCAAGAGUUCUGGGUGAUAGUGCGCUAUGUCAAUCGGGUGUCUGCACUAAGUUGUCAUCAGUAUGGUGACCUUAUGAAAGCCAAGGACCACCAAGUUGCCUUAGGUUGGGUAAACUAGCCCAAGUUGGAAAUGGAGCAGGUUAAAACCCCUCUGUUGACCAGUAGUGGGAUGGUACCUGUGAAUAGCAAUUAGACUCCAGCCUGGGCAACAUAGCAACGCCUUGUUUCAU
ensembl:misc_RNA Metazoa_SRP Metazoan signal recognition particle RNA